UGGCUUAGGAUGAACGCUAGCUACAGGCUUAACACAUGCAAGUCGAGGGCAUCAGGAGAAAGCUGCUUCUUGCUGGCGACCGGCGCACGGGUGAGUAACGCGUAUCCAACCUUCCCCCCAGUAGGGCAUAGCCCGGCGAAAGUCGGAUUAAUACCCUAUGUUGUGUCAUGAGGACAUCUGAAUAACACCAAAGAUUUAUCGCUGGGGGAUGGGGAUGCGUCCGAUUAGGUUGUUGGCGGGGUAACGGCCCACCAAGCCCGCGAUCGGUAGGGGUUCUGAGAGGAAGGUCCCCCACACUGGUACUGAGACACGGACCAGACUCCUACGGGAGGCAGCAGUGAGGAAUAUUGGUCAAUGGGCGAGAGCCUGAACCAGCCAAGUAGCGUGCAGGACGACCGGCCCUAUGGGUUAGUAAACUGUCUUUUAUGGCGGGGAUAAAGUGACGUACGUGUACGUUUUUGUAGGUACCGCAUGAAUAAGGACCGGCUAAUUCCGUGCCAGCAGCAGC
rnacentral:rRNA from 1 species